rnacentral:rRNA from 1 species
ACGGUUCUGUUUGGCACCUCGAUGUCGGCUCGUCCUAUCCUGGGGCUGGAGAAGGUCCCAAGGGUUUGGCUGUUCGCCAAUUAAAAGGGUACGCGAGCUGGGUUCAGAACGUCGUGAGACAGUUCGGUCCUUAUCUUCCAUGAUCGUUGGAUUUUUGAAGGAUUCUGCCCCUAGUACGAGAGGACCGGGGUGGACGAACCUCUAGUGUAUCUGUUGUCGUGUCAACGGCAGUGCAGAGUAGCUAUGUUCGGUUGGAUAACCGCUGAAAGCAUCUAAGUGGGAAACCAUUCCUAAGAUUAGAAAUCCCUAUGAACCUCCCUGAAGAUUACAGGGUAUAUAGGCUGCAGAUGUACGCACAGUGAUGUGUUUAGUCGAGCAGUCCUAAUUGGUCAUUGAACUUAUU